rnacentral:rRNA from 1 species
AUUGAACGCUGGCGGCAUGCCUUACACAUGCAAGUCGAACGGCAGCACGGGAGCAAUCCUGGUGGCGAGUGGCGAACGGGUGAGUAAUAUAUCGGAACGUGCCCAGUAGUGGGGGAUAGCCCGGCGAAAGCCGGAUUAAUACCGCAUACGACCUGAGGGUGAAAGCGGGGGAUCGCAAGACCUCGCGCUAUUGGAGCGGCCGAUAUCAGAUUAGCUAGUUGGUGGGGUAAAGGCCUACCAAGGCUACGAUCUGUAGUUGGUCUGAGAGGACGACCAGCCACACUGGGACUGAGACACGGCCCAGACUCCUACGGGAGGCAGCAGUGGGGAAUUUUGGACAAUGGGCGCAAGCCUGAUCCAGCAAUGCCGCGUGCAGGAAGAAGGCCUUCGGUUGUAAACUGCUUUUGUCAGGAGAAAGUCUCUGGGCUAAUACCCCGGGACGGAGUGACGGUACCGUGAAGAAUAAGCACCGGCUAACUAACGUGCCAGCAGCCGAC